GGAGGAGUAGCCAGAAAGGUGGAAGAGACCCAGGAAAUGUAGCUUCGCGGAGGGCAGCGGGGCACGUCGGGAAGGAGGAGGGGACCCGGAGCCGGCCGGGGACAGCGAGGCAGGCCGAGGUGUGCGCAGAGGCGGGGAGAAGGCGCAGGGUGGCCCCUGGGAGAGCAGCGAGGGGACGCCAGAGCCGCCGCCUUCUCCAGGAGCUCUGCACCCCGGGAGCCGGAGCGGAGAAAGCAAACAGUGGGGCUCCGAGCGCUGUCUGCUUUAUCCGCUCCUGCCCCUGGGGCUGACCUAGCCGGCGCGGACGGGGCGGGGGCUAGGCAGGGGCUGCCGGGGGCCAGGACGCAGGGAGGGGCCAGACCACGCGGGGGUCAAGCAGCAAACCCGCAGCGGCCGUGCCGAGCUCCUGGAAGGACCUUGUGAGUGGGGGGCGCGCGGGGGGGGGGCGCGGAGCCGGGGGGCGCUGCCAGACGUCGGGGCCGCGCUCACCCGCGCCCGCGCUCUGGCCCUUCCAGAGAGCCGAGCGUCCUCCGGAGCCCGAGCUGAUCGCGCCACCAGCAGUGACUUCUCCAGGGACGGAUGGGCUCGCUCGAUCCAGGCUCUGUAUAAGUGAGUGCGCCUCGCGACCCCUCCCCGCCGGCUGGCCCCGGGUUCCCCGGCCCCCGUCUAACGCGGCCCUUCCUUCCUUCCUUCCUCUCCCCACCAGUCACUGAUCCAGCAGCAGUCAGUGAACCUUUCUGGCCCGCCACUCCCCCAGGCUCAAGCUCGAGGGCUUUUCAGAAAGGGUACGUGAGGGAAACUGAGGCUGGGGGAGGGGCCGGAGGAAGGAGGGGGGUCGGGGGCAGGCUGGCUCAGAGGCUCUCUCUGCUCUGGCAGGUACAUCCUGGCCAAGGCCUACCUGCCCGGCGGAUCGCCCGGGGGAGGACCCUUGCCCACCCGCGGCUCAGCGCCUCUGAGCUCUCACCAAGUCACUCAGGCCGGACAGCAGGGCCAGCUAGGUGAGCCCCGCCCCCUGCCCCCUGCCCCCUCCCCGCUGCCCGCUGCUGGCAGGCGCUGACUCGCCCUCGCCUUCCCACAGGCCUCGACUCUGCUCAUGGAUGGAUGAGGUGUCCCCCCAGUGGAAGAGUGCAGCCCGCUGGGGGGUGCUGGCCCCCCCACCGCCAGAGACCUCCCAGAAGCCCCCCCAAGAAAGCCCCGGCCGAGAGACACCCCAAACCCCCCCCACCAACUUGGCCCCUCCAAAGGUGUCUCCUCCUGGAAGCCUUCCUGAUGAGAGAUCCCCUCCCCUCCCCCCUCCCCCCUCCCCCAGCCUUCCCCUCCCCCUCUCCCUCCAGUCCCCCCUCCCGCCCCCCCCAGUGUCCUGUUCCUCGAUUCUGCGACCCUGACGCCCUUACAGACUCCAUUUGCACUAGCUGGUUCGUUUGCACUGAUGGGUGGAUGGUCCCCGCGAGUGUGCGCGUGCGUGUGUGUGUGUGUGUGUGUGUGUGUGUGUGUGUGUGUGUCGGUCCUGUCUCGGCCAGCCCGCUCCCCCAGAGCCCUGGCUGGCCCUCCACGCAUUCUCACCUCUCUCAGUUCUCUCUCCCCAUCCCCCUCCCCCAGAGCCCACCCCCAGGCUGGCUCUGCAUUCACUCAAUAAACACUGUUGACAGACAGCAGGGUUUCUCAGGA
rnacentral:sRNA from 1 species